GUAGGGAAUAUUGCACAAUGGAGGAAACUCUGAUGCAGCGACGCCGCGUGAGUGAUGAAGGCCUUCGGGUCGUAAAGCUCUGUCGCAGGGGAAUAACACAAUGAAGGUACCCUGUAAGAAAGGAUCGGCUAACUUCGUGCCAGCAGCCGCGGUAAGACGAGGGAUCCUAGCGUUGUUCGGAAUCAUUGGGCGUAAAGCGGAUGUAGGUGGCUAUGUAAGUCAGAUGUGAGAGCCUGGGGCUCAACCCCAGAAGUGCAUUUGAUACUGCGUAGCUUGAGUGUCGGAGAGGUUACUAGAAUUGUUGGUGUAGUGGUGAAAUACGUAGAUAUCAACAGGAAUACCGGAGGCGAAGGCGGGUAACUGGCCGAACACUGACACUGAGAUCCGAAAGCGUGGGGAUCAAACAGGAUUAGAUACCCUUGUAGUCC
rnacentral:rRNA from 1 species